rnacentral:rRNA from 1 species
UACAGAGGGUGCGAGCGUUGUCCGGAAUCACUGGGCGUAAAGGGCGCGUAGGUGGUGGCUUAAGCGUGCGGUGAAAGCUCGGAGCUCAACUCCGAGUCGGCCGUGCGAACUGGGCUCACUGGAGCAUAGUAGAGGCAGGUGGAAUUUCGGGUGUAGCGGUGAAAUUCGUAGAUAUUCGGAAGAACACCAGUGGCGAAGGCGGCUCACUGGACUGGUAUUGACGCUGAGGUGCGAAAGCGUGGGGAGCAAACAGG